GACGAACGCUGGCGGCGUGCUUAACACAUGCAAGUCGAACGGAAAGGCCCUGCUUGCAGGGUGCUCGAGUGGCGAACGGGCGAGUAACACGUGGGUGAUCUGCCCCUUACUUUGGGUUAAGCCUGGUAAACUGGGUCUAAUACUGGAUAGGACCAUGCUGUAGGCGGUGUGGUGGAAAGAUUAGUUUCGGUUAGAGAUGAGCUCGCGGCCUAUCAGCUUGUAGGUGGGGUAUUGGCCUACCAAGGCGUCGACGGGUAGCCGGCCAGAGUGGGUGGGAGGCAACAUCGAGACUGAUACACGAGGCAGAAGCCUACGGGAGGCAGCAGUGGGGAAUAUUGCACAAUAGCAGCAAGCCUGGUGCAGCGACGCCGCGUGGAGGAUGACGGCCUUCGGGUUGUAAACUCCUUUCGGCCAUGACGAAGCGCUUGUGGUGACGGUAGUGGUAGAAGAAGCACCGGCUAACUACGUG
rnacentral:rRNA from 1 species